CCAACAUGAACAUUAAAUUGACUUUGGAAGGCUCCAGGCAUUCCUGCUCGACACCACAUUAGACCCGGCUACUCCCCACCUCGAGAUGAUGGGCAGCCUGCCAGGUAGGGGUUGCCAUGACUCCUAACACCACCCCUUCCCUCUGCACUCCCUCUCCCUUGAAGGUGCCAAAUUUUCGGGCAGGCUGGGCUGGCCAAGGUUUUGAUUUAGACAAAAGAUGUCUUCACAAUGUCAGCAGAAUGCUUUAUGGAAAUGCUGUGGCUUUCUGGUAGGAAACCAUGUGACCCCCUCGGCCAAGGUUUUGUUAUGGUGCCAGGAGGAAGAGAAAGAGAGAAUGCGAUGCCAGCAAAGGGUUAUGCUUUCUUUUUUUUGUCUUUCUUUCAUUCUUGUGUUUGCUUAGAAAAUGGCGGAUGGUGCGGUGCUGAAAUUAACCCGACUUGCCAAUGGAGAUGGGCACAAAACCAUAGCUUGAUUUUUAUUUUAUCAGAAGCGGAUGCUUUUUUGCAUAGCAUCCACGUUUCAUCUAUUUUUGAUUCAAGCUCAAGCCUGCUUCCUGUCUGUCUGUCUCCGGCCGCGUACAAAAGAGAGGUCAGAACAAUCCAAACCAAAUAGAGAUGAUGAAUGCCAAAUGGUUAGUAGAGAUCUGGGGAUGGGAAGAGAGUGAGAUUACUCCAUACCCUGUAAGGCACACAAUCAACAAGGCAUUGUGGAGCUGGAGCCCAGCGGAUCUCUUAUCUCAGGUAGAUGGGGGGGAACAGCAGGUACUGUGGAGCCCCCCCCCUCUCUUUCUCUCUCAGUGUAUGCUCACUCACAGGACGAAGAGAAGUAGGUAGCCAAGGUGUAAGGGACGGACGGGGUGGCUGAAGGGCGGCAUUCUCAGACGGAGCAGAGCAGAACGCUCUCUCCUCCUCUCCCCUUGUCAUUGGUAUGCAGUGGCUGUUCCCCAGGCGACAGGGCCACUGGGUUCGGGCUGAACUUACUGCAAGAGAAAAGUCAGCGACACAGAGGAGAGGAGGACAGCAGGUAAGGGUAAUGAGAACAGGCAGAGAAAGGAAAGGGGGAAAGAGAGAAGGAGGGAAGAAGAGGACAAGCGAAAGGAGGGCAAGAUGUCCCAAGGGGCUUUGGGGGUGAGGCACCCCCUGACCCUUCGCACUCCGUACACUGUCCAGACACUAACACACACACACACACACACACACACACACACACACACACACACACACACACACACACACACACACACACACACACACACACACACACACACACACACACCUAAACUCUUUUAAAGGGUUCUACAUGAAACCCAAACGGGUUCUACCUGGAACCAAAAAUAGUUUAUCAAGGCUGUAACAUAACAAAAUGUGGAAAAAGUGAAGAGGUCUGAAUACUUUCCGAAUGCACUGUAUACUUAGAAACAAAAAGGUGGGUUAAAUGGGUUCAUUGGCUUUUUGUUUCUAAGUAUACAGUGCAUUCGGAAAGUAUUCAGACCUCUUCACUUUUUCCACAUUUUGUUAUGUUACAGCCUUAUUCUAUAAUGGAUUACAUUUUUUUUAAAUUCCCCUUAUCAAUCUAUACACAAUACCCCAUAAUGACAAAGCAAAAACAGGGUUUUAGACAUUUUUGCAGACAAUGAGUAAAAAAUAUCUCUUUUACAGAAAUAUUCAGACCCUUUAUUCAGUACUUUGUUGAAGCACCUUUGGCAGCAAUUACAGCAUUGAGUCUUCCUGGGUAUGACGCUACAAGCUUGGCACACAUGUAUUUGGGGUGUUUCUCCCAUUCUUCUCUGCAGAUCCUCUCAAGCUCUGUCAGGUUGGAUGGGGAGCAUCGCUGCACAGCUAUUAUCAGGUCUCUCCAGAAAUGUUUGAUCACUUUCAAGUCUGGACUCUUGUUGGGCCACUCAAGGACAUUCAGAAACUUGUUCCGAAGCCACUCCUGCAUUGUCUUGGCUGUGUGAUUAGGGUCUUUGUCCUGUUGGAAGGUGAACCUUCACCCCAGUCUGAGGUCCUGAGAGCUCUGAAGCAGGUUUUCAUCAAGGAUCUCUCUGUACUUUGCUCUGUUCAUCUUUCCCCCGAUCCUGAUUAGUCUCCCAGUCCCUGCCACUGAAAAAACAUUUCCACAGAAUGAUGCUGCCACCACCAUGCUUCACCGUAGGAUUGGUGCCAGGUUUCCUCCAGAAGUGACUCUUUGCAUUCAGGCCAAAGAGUUCAAUCUUGGUUUCAUCAGACCAAAGAAUGUUGUUUCUCAUGGUCUGAUAGUCUUUAGGUGCCUUUUGGCAAACUCCAAGUGGACUGUUAUGUUGCUUUUACUGAGAAGUGGCACCCAUCUAGCUACUCUAACGGCCUGAUUGGUGGAGUGCUGCAGAGAUGGUUUUCCUUCUGGAAGGUUCUCCCAUCUCCACAGAGGAACUCUCACAGAGGAACUCUCACAGAGGAACUCUAACGGAAAUACUUUCCGAAUGCGCUGUAUAUGUAUUAAAGGUCCAAUGCAGUUGUUUUAUUCUCAAUAUCAAAUAUAAUUUGUAGGUAACAGUUAAGUACCUUACUGUGAUUAUUUUUUAAGUAUAAUGGUCAAUAAGAAAAAAAUUGCUUCUUCGCAAAGAGCACUGGGCCUUUAAUGCCAAAACACCCGACUAGACACUUUAUGUCAAGCGCACAUCAUGUAUCCAAAAAGCAAGAACAAAUGUAUUCUCUCUCACAAACACACAAGGGGAGUUUGGGUAAUGUUUGGUACUUUUGGCUUUUUUCUUUGUAAGAGUCUUUAUGACUAAAUAGUGAUAAUGUAAUGCUUCUUGAGAUACAUAUAUUAUAUCUUGAGCUUUACAGCAUAUGAUUUUGUCCAAUAUAUUGUAUUGUAUUAUGUUGUUACGUAAACAUGUUUUUUUUCUUCAAAUAACUGUUUUACAUUUUUGAGAAUAGUGUUAUAAAGAAAGCAAAUGAUUGAAUGCAAACAGUGUAAAAUGUCAUUACAAAUUGUGUGAAAAUAAACAGAUUAAUAUUA